rnacentral:sRNA from 1 species
GUCGGCGUGCUUGCACGCAAAGACACAGGCACGUGAGACCUGCACAGACAUGAGCGUGGAGCGAUUUGCGCAGCAAAUCAGCGGAAUGCGAAUGGCUGUAGGAUUGCGAGAGCGAAGCGAAGCAAUCCGUAGU